UCCAAGACCAACCCCUGUCCCGGCUCCGAGGCUAGCACGAGUCGCGGCUCCAAGACUUGCACCAGCUGCCGCGACGACGUCUCCUCCUGCCUCCACGGCGACGACGUCUCCUCCUGCCUCCACGGCGACGACGUCUCCUCCUGCCUCCACGGCGACGACGACUCCUCCUGCUUCCACGGCGACGUCUUCUCUCUCCUCGUCUCCGGUGGGCUUUUCCAGGACGCCGCUACCUUCCUCGCCCUCAUCGUCGUCUCAGCGACCUCGAGUGGUCUGGCUGCGCAAGCGGUGCUCUCGGAUGUUUGCGUAUGGACGCCAGUGGCGCAAACAGCAGCGACACCCGAGAAGUAGACUUAGAACUCUCCGGCUGCUGAACUUCUGGCGCCACUCACGCCCACCUUCUCGGCAGCCACGCAUGUGGCCUUUCCGUGGUCGCCCGCCUCGCCUGCGGCAGUGGCGUUCCACUCGCCGCCGCCACCUGACUCUUCCCCGGUGGAUUCGGGGACACGUGGCCUGGCGACCCACCACCAAACCCUCCCUCCGCCCUCCCUUGACUCUAGAACUGUUUCUUGUUUUUUGGGUUCUAGUUUUAUUUUGUGUCAAGGGACAUCUGGAAUCUGUCCUUUAAGGGGGGGGGUACUGUUACGAUCCGCUGCCCGGAUCAUAGUUUGUUUAUGUUUGAGUCACGUGUUUUCAGCACCUUGAGUUUGUUUGUUUUCAGUUGCCAUGUCAACCGAUUACAUUCACCUGCCUCUGGUUAGUGUUCGGGACGCGCACCUGUUGCCCGGGCACUAAUCAGAGGGCUAUUUAGUCUUUGCCCUGGCCUCACUCGGUCUGGCUUCCUAGUUUGUUCUUACACAACUGAUGACGACGAUUAUUUCCUGUUUCUUAGCUACUAGUUCUCACGCUAGGCUAUUUUGGUUUGCUAGCUCCCACGCUAGCCCUUUUGUUUUGCCUUUUGUGCUACGUGCAUGUCUUUUUGUUUAUUCAUCGUAUGAUUUAUAUUGUAAAUAAAUCAUAUUCCUACCUGCAAGCUGUGUCCGAAGCCGUCUGCAUCCCUGGGAGAACCACAUCCGCAUCACGAUGCGACCAAGUCGUCACAAAUGGGAAUAUAACAAGAUUCUAUCCGUCUACAUCCUAGUGACAGCAAACAAUGUAAGUGAUGUUUUGUGUUUGUUGGCUCUCCAGAAGUCUGCAGUGAGUAGUAAUCAAUGAUGUUGAAGAAAAAAAACUAAUGUGAUACGUUUUUGAAAUUAGUGCACCAUGUAUGCUUAAAAUGAACAAAAUCGUAAAUAUUACAUUUUGUGUAAUAAAUGUGCGUGUUACUACAUUGCAUGUUAUCUCAGGUCAUUCAAUCGAUUGCAACUGAAAUGUUUGGUUUGUCUUAGAAGACGUUUCGCCUUUCAUCCGAGGAAGCUUCAUCAGUUCGCGCUCGUAGACUUAGAUUGGUCAGAUCUAGUCUGAUAGAGACGAAACGUCUUCUAAGACAAACCAGACCAGCUGCGAUCGAUUCAAUGCCUUGAGAUGACAAUGAUCUGGAUGAAUGAGAACAUUCAUAGACAGUAGGAUACAUAAUGUCCAAGAGCACUCUGGGUCAAGCCUGCCCGAAAAGCAAUGACUGCCAUUAAUGUGAAGGCCUGUCCUUCAUGUUGGAGGGGAAUUCACACGAGGGAAAUCUUCUCUGGUGGAUACCCCUUUGUGCUGGAGUUGCUGAACAAGGGCUGCCAAGGUCAGUGUCAAUCCAAAUAAGUUCUCACAGCUUGUAACUGGGUAACCCUACAUGCACAUAUACUAUUUCCUGUUUUGCUGUCUUCUCUGAUUGGCCGUAGGCAGUCUGAGUCAGGAAGGCUGAGUCCUUCUUCCACAGCAGUUGCAAGAUGACAGAUGCCAAAAGUCUGGAGGACACAAAUAGAGUUUUCCACAGCAUCUCCAUCUGUUGGGCGUGUUUGUGGCAGCAUCAGACUCCUCACAGGGAUAAGCAUCCUUUUGUCUCUUUUCUACUGUGGAUGCAGGGUCAAUGGCAGCAUCAUCUUUUUUUGAUGAAGGAAAGAAAGAUGGUGAGCAAAAAAAAUGAUGCACCUUUAUAGGUAAGUUUUCAUGUUUGAAAAUACCUUGUUUUAUAUUUUUUGAACUUAAACUGCGGCUGAUCUUGCAGUGACGCUGUAAAAUAGUGGCGCCAUUAUUCCUGUCCAGAGUGGUAAGUAACUUGCAAGUGUUAUUAUAUGGGGAGUAAUCGCAGGGAGGAAGUGGAUGUUAUCGCGAUUCCCAUCAGCCAUAGCAAGUGGCCUGCUCUUCACAUAUUUCAGUUACCCACUGUUGGAUGUCAGUCUGGAUCUGAGCACACGCAUCCACUUGGUUCACCUGUUCCUUACCCUUGUCAUCUGGAAUUGACACACUCUUGUGUAAUUUGUGCUCUCAGGUAUUUAUUGUACCUUUCUGAUGAAAAAGGGACUCCAGCCCUAUUACCUUCACUUAACGCCACAUUAGUGAUAGCACGUAAUAGUUAUUUUGCAUGCUCCACACAUUGUGAUUUAAGAAGCUUUGCUAAAGACCUUACAAAAAAAAUUGUUAAUCAUGUGUUUUCUUCAUGCACUCCUAGUUGCAGCUCAUCUUGAUGCAGUGGGCAACAUCAACCCUGACAAAACAAGGUCAGGAUAAGGAGAAACACCUAGAAUGGCUAGAGAAAAAUCACUCAACUUCUUUUGGGACAGUUGCACCUGCACGAAUCCAUUCGUUCAGCAUAUUGUGCGACAGCAUUUGCACCACUAGGAGACUGCUGUGCCGUGUCAGAACACCCGGAUACAGGAAGAUAUGGCCAGAUGAGCCAUUUGGCCUUGUCCAUUUUCUUACAACUUAUCCACUUGCAUCAAAACAUACUGUCUGGUGAAUUUUCUUUAUGAAGGUCUUGUACACAUGCAUUUGUGUUUCACCCCAUUAGUGACAGAAAAACAUGUCCAGUUCAUUGUCUCUGAUGCUACCACUGUAAGGUGAACUGUAUUUUAACAGCUGCAAGGAAUACAUUGGAUUUUUGUCACUUAAUUCCAGAUGAUUCUUUUCUUGUUUUGCUUAGCGUAGAAUGGCCAAAUUAGGCAGAUGAGUUGGCUCUAGAUCUCCAAAGUCCAUAAGCUUUUGUGCCUGUGAUGCCCUCCAGACAUUUGUUUGCAUCCUGCCCUCACACAGUUCUGUGGCUACCUGCACACGCAAGUCUGCAGGCAAAAAGGGCUUUUAACAGCCUAGUGUACAUGGAGUUAUCUGUGUUUUUGAUGAAGCAUUUGAACACCACUGGGAUGUUAAUUGCAGGUUUGCCGGCACAUGUUAAAUGGAUGUCCAUUUAACGGUCAUGUGACCGUGGCACUCCUUACAGUAGCCAUUUAUGUUAAUGUACUGGUGAUUGAUUGGCACUUUUAAAAACAAAUGUACAAGGACUAUUCAUCACCUUUCAAAUGUGCACAUUAACACCACGAGUCCAGGUGCCAGGCUUCAAAAUUGUGUAUUCCCUUUUUUUUUUGCUUGAUAUUGUUUCUUUGUAUUCAACCUUUCCUGAAAUAAAUUUGAUCUAUUUUCAAAAAGAGCAAGCUGAAAAGCCUGAUUUGGUCCGUCAGAAAGAAAAGCUGAAUAAUCUGUCGUGAAUAGUUGCGGGAUCACUUGAUAAUUAAAGCCUAUUGCUGACCAAAUGUGUCUAAGA